rnacentral:sRNA from 1 species
CGGAAGUAGCGUCGGCGCGGGAGCUGAGCGGAGUGGCCUUGCCACCGGAGGGGAAGGGCUGCUGGCGUUAGGCCUGGCUGGGUCGUGCGGCUGAGCGUGAGGCUAGAAAGAAAAAGCGAUCCUCCAAGAGUGAGAACGGGAGAUCUGCCGAGGAUAACAACCUCCCUUGUGGCCGAAGGGCGGGGGAUCCCCACACGAGGGCUCCGCUUCGAGAGACGGCGACAAAGGAAAGUUCGUAGCGCGUUCGGGAGGCCCGGCCACCUCUGAGAAGGGAGACGACGCUGCUGGGUCCGCUGAGCGGGGCGACCCGAGGUUAAGGCUACCUUUCCAGAUAAUCCAACAGCUAAAUCACCAGUUUCCAAGGGCAUUUGCAUCACCUAUGGAAAGCAUCGGAUCCUUAUACACCAGAUGUUCUUGACAGCUCAUCCCGUCAUUCCCCCCUGCACAAAAGUUGCUAUACCAGCGGACAAGCAAGACAACUACUGAGCUUCUUUUGAUUGUCAAGUAGAUAUAAUAUCACUGCCAGCAAAACAGCACAAAAAGUGUCUCUUCACAGUAUCACUACCAGUUGGGACUAUGCUAAAUAAAUCAGCUUGCCUAGAUGAGGACCCCUUCUAUUCUUGGGUAGCCAGGAUUUGAAGGAGAUACUCUGACCUGUGCCACUGGUAAGUGACUAAUACUUUUACACACUGAACUGGUCCUGGAAACUGAGAUGUCUUCUUUGUAAGUGAAGAAUAUACAACAUAAUCUUGAAGAA